UGUGCUCGAGUAUGCCAUUAAAGAAGCACACAUCGUGUUGGCCUCAGCGUUAACCUGCUAAGCAGGCAGAAACAUCAGAAACAGGUGGGAGAGAAGCGGAGCUCAGAGCCUCCUUGGCAAAGGGAACUCUGCAGAUGCUUUGACAUCUGGGGUCCUGCUGGCCUGAGAAACCGUCCCUCCCGGGCAGCAUUGGUGGGACUGAUGUGUCCGUGGUACAGGGUAAGAAGAUCUCAGGCAGACGGGGAAUGGCUUGAGGAUGGAGACCUUGCCUUGGUUAGCUCUCUGUCCUCAGCAAACACAACGCCUGGCACAUGUGCACCAGGACAUUGGCGUGUGGCAAUAAAUUGGACUGAAAGUUCUCAAGGACGCCAAAAGGAUUUUUAGCAAAGUGUCCUGGACUUCCUAAGCCUCCUUGCUCCCACAAAAAUGAGAUCUGCAACAGAGACCUUGGGAACUAAUUAAGUAUUAGGACAUUUCCAUGCACUUCGUUAGCACUCCCACGGAAUGGCACCAUCAGCCCGUGGUCUCCUCUCCUAACUCAUUAAUAUUUGACUUCUCUGGCUUUCAGAUGUCUUGAAUAUUUUAAUUACAGAAUCUUAUUACAUGCUCAGGGAUUUUUUUAAAAGAAACAGACAUCAAUUUCAUAAAAGUUUUAUGAAUCUGACUCAAUAUGUGACUAUAUUUCAAUCCGAUAAGUGUUCAUCAUAAUUAAAAUGUAUGGCACCCUCAUUUGAUGCCAAGCGUUAUCUCAUUUAAUCCCGACGGCCGUCUUAAUGCAGUUCAGAGAAGUCAAGCAUUUGCCCAAGGUCACACGGAGUCUGACUCAACCAACACGCUUUGCCAGUUUCCCAAAGUUUCCCAGUCUAAUUGA